AGAGUUUGAUCCUGGCUCAGGAUGAACGCUGGCGGCGUGCUUAACACAUGCAAGUCGAACGAUUAAAGCCCCUUCGGGGGUGUAUAGAGUGGCGAACGGGUGAGUAACACGUGGGCAAUCUGCCCCUCACUUCGGGAUAACUCAGGGAAACUUGAGCUAAUACCGGAUACUCCGGACUGAUCGCAUGGUCGGUCCGGGAAAGCUCCGACGGUGAGGGAUGAGCCCGCGGCCCAUUAGCUUGUUGGUGGGGUAAUGGCCUACCAAGGCGACGAUGGGUAGCCGAGCUGAGAGGCUGAUCGGCCACACUGGGACUGAGAUACGGCCCAGACUCCUACGGGAGGCAGCAGUGGGGAAUUUUGCGCAAUGGGCGAAAGCCUGACGCAGCAACGCCGCGUGCGGGAUGAAGGCCUUCGGGUUGUAAACCGCUUUCAGCAGGGACGAAAAUGACUGUACCUGCAGAAGAAGCCCCGGCUAACUACGUGCCAGCAGCCGCGGUAAUACGUAGGGGGCAAGCGUUAUCCGGAUUCAUUGGGCGUAAAGAGCGCGUAGGCGGCUUGUUAAGCGAGAUGUGAAAACUGGGGGCUCAACCCGCAGCUUGCAUCUCGAACUGGCAGGCUUGAGUCUGGUAGAGGAGUGUGGAAUUCCCAGUGUAGCGGUGAAAUGCGCAGAUAUUGGGAGGAACACCAGUGGCGAAGGCGGCACUCUGGGCCACGACUGACGCUGAGGCGCGAAAGCUAGGGGAGCAAACAGGAUUAGAUACCCUGGUAGUCCUAGCCGUAAACGAUGGGCACUAGGUGUGG
rnacentral:rRNA from 1 species